rnacentral:rRNA from 1 species
CCUACGGGUGGCAGCAGUGGGGAAUCUUGGGCAAUGGGCGCAAGCCUGACCCAGCAACGCCGCGUGAAGGAAGAAGGCUCUCGGGUUGUAAACUUCUUUUCUCAGGGACGAAGAAAGUGACGGUACCUGCGGAAUAAGCCACGGCUAACUACGUUCCAGCAGCCGCGGUAAUACGUAGGUGGCAAGCGUUAUUCGGAUUUAUUGGGGGUAAAGGGCGUGUAGGCGGGAGCGCAAGUCAGAUGUGAAAACUCAGGGCUCAACCCGGAGCCGGCAUUUGAAACUGUGUGUCUUGAGUGCUGGAGGGGCAAUCGGAAUUCCGGGUGUAGCGGUGAAAUGCGUAGAUAUACGGAGGAACACUAGUGGCGAAGGCGGAUUGCUGGACAGUAACUGACGCUGAGGCGCGAAAGCGUGGGGAGCGAACAGGAUUAGAUACCCGAGUAGUC